ensembl:lncRNA
GAGGAGGUGGAGGGGAGGAAUAGAGAGAAGAUGAGGAGGAAAAGAGAGAAGAGGAGAGAGAUGAGGGGGAGAAGAGGAGGAAUAGAGAGAAUAUGAGGGGGUGAAGAGGAGGAAUAGAGAGAAGAUGAGGGGGAGAAGAAGAGGAAUAGAGAGAGAUGAGGAGGUGGAGAGGUGGAGACGAGGAAUAGAGAAAAGAUGAGGAGGAAUAGAGAGAAGGUGAGGAGGUGGAGGGGAGGAAUAGAGAGAAGAUGAGGAGGAAUGGAGAGAAGAGGAGGUGGUGGAGGGGAGGAAUAGAGAAGAUGAGGUGGAGGGGAGGAAUAGAGAAGAUGAGGGGGAGAGGAAGAAUAAAGAGACGAUGUGGAGGAAUAGAGAGAAUAGGAGGUGGUGGAGGGGAGGAAUAGAGAAGAUGAGCGGGAGAGGAUGAAUAGAGAGAAGAUGAGGAAUAGAGAGAUGAGGAGGAGGUGGAGGGGAGGAAUAGAGAAGAUGAGGUGGAGAGUAGAAAUAGAGAGAAGAUGAGAAAGUGGAGAGGAGGAAUAGAGAGAAGGUGAGGAGGGAUGGUGAGAAGAUCAGUAGGUGGAGAGGAGGAAUGGAGAGAAGAUGAGGAGGGGGAGAGAAGGAAUGGAGAGAGGAUGAGGAGGCGGAGAGAGAAGAUGAGGAGGAAUAAGAGAGAAGAUGAGGAGUGGAAGAGGUGGAAUAGAGAAAAGAUGAGGAGGAAUAUAGAGUUGGUUGAGGAAUAGAGAAGAUGAGGAAUAUAGAGAAGAUGAGGAGGGGGAGAAGUGGAAUAGAUAUAGGAUCAGGAAGUGGAGAUAAGAGAGAAGAUGAGGAGGUGGAGAAGAGGAAUAGAGAGAAGCUGAGGAGGAAUAGAGAAGAUGAGGAGGUGGAGAGGAGGAAUAUAGAGAAGAUGAGGAGGAAUCAAGAGAAUAUGAGAAAUAGAGAUAAUGAGGAGGUGGAGAGAGAAGAUGAGGAGGUGGAAAAGAGGAAUAGAUAUAGGAUCAGGAAGUGGAUAUGAGGAAUAGGGAGAAGAUGAGGAGGUGGAAAUGAGGAAUAGAGAGAGAUGAGGAGGAAUAGAGAGAAGAUGAGGAAGGGGUGAAGAGGAAUAGAUAUAGGAUCAGGAAGUGGAUAUGAGGAAUAGGGAG